rnacentral:ncRNA from 2 species
UUAUUUAAACUUUUAUAUUCUUGUAUAAUUUCAGUCAAGAUGGUCUGAUCGUUUCUACCUGGCAGCCGCUAAAAUGCCAGACUACAAGAAGGUAUGAACAACAA